UACGGGGGGGCAAGCGUUGUUCGGAAUUACUGGGCGUAAAGGGCUCGUAGGCGGCCAACUAAGUCAUACGUGAAAUCCCUCGGCUUAACCGGGGAACUGCGUCUGAUACUGGAUGGCUUGAGUUCGGGAGAGGGAUGCGGAAUUCCGGGUGUAGCGGUGGAAUGCGUAGAGAUCCGGAAGAACACCGGUGGCGAAGGCGGUCUGCUGGGCAGUAGCUAGACU
rnacentral:rRNA from 1 species